rnacentral:rRNA from 1 species
UACCGGCGGCUCGAGUGGUGACCACUUUUAUUGGGCUUAAAGCGUCCGUAGCUGGAUUGUUAAGUCUCUUGGGAAAUCUCACGGCUUAACCGUGAGGCGUCUAAGAGAUACUGGCAAUCUUGGGACCGGAAGAGGUGAGAGGUACUCCGGGGGGUAGGAGUGAAAUCCUGUAAUCCUCGGGGGACCACCUGUGGCGAAGGCGUCUCACCAGGACGGCUCCGACAGUGAGGGACGAAAGCUGGGGGAGCAAACCGGAUUAGAUACCCGGGUAGUCCCAGCCGUAAACGAUGCGCGUUAGGUGUAUCGGCGACCACGAGUCGCUGAGGUGCCGAAGGGAACCGUGAAACGUGCCGCCUGGGAAGUACGGUCGCAAGGCUGAAACUUAAAGGAAUUGGCGGGGGAGCACCACAAGGCGUGAAGCUUGCGGCUC